AAUUACAAAAAAGAGGUGAAAACAAUGAUUUAUUUGUGGGCGAAAACAAUAAUUGGUUAGCAUAUGAGAGUUGUAUAAAAAAAAAACUAGUGUAAUGCAGUCGCAAAUCAGCGCGCAUUCGGCCACUCCGACAGUCAAUCCGACCACCGCGGACAUGGUUUGCCUGGCUUGUUUGUUGCCGCUGUUUCUCGUCCCAAUCGUUAACUUAUUGCCGGUCAUCUUCGAUUUGAUCAUGGCGAAGGUUUACUGAUUGUUUGGAUGGGAGUAUCGGAAGCCGGCGAGAUCGCCUCCGGCGUGCCCUAUUAAACCCUCCGCCGCACAGACUGCCGUCAAUGGUUCAAUUUCAGGUAAAGAGGACCUUGCUGCUGCUGCUGCUGCUGCUGUUCCGUCACCAAAACCAGUUGGAGUUGAUGAUGUCAAGCAAGAUUAAAGAUGAUCUGUAUCUUGUGUAGACCACAAGUGAUUUCCUAUCUGGAGUGAGGAAGUUCUUAACUUAAAUGUUGAAAUGUAAUGUUUAUUGACAAUGUCCGACUACACUGUAUCAUGAAUUAUUUUAGCCUAAUCUACCACCAGGCCACCAGUUAAUCUUUUA